CAGUAGCCGCGGGAAAACGAGGGGUGCAAGCGUUAUUCGGAUUGAUUGGGUGUAAAGGGUGUGCAGACGGCUUAUUAAGUCACUUGUUAAAUUCUUCGGCCUAACUGAAGGUCUGCAAGUGAUACUGAUGAGCUAGAGGGUGGAAGAGAGAAGUGGAAUUCUCGGAGUAGCGGUAAAAUGCGUAGAUCUCGAGAGGAACACCAAUGGCGAAGGCAGCUUCUUGGUCCAUUCCUGACGUUCAUACACGAAAGCGUGGGGAGCAAACAGGAUUAGAUACCCGGGUAGUCCCUGUCUCUUAUAA
rnacentral:rRNA from 1 species